AACGAACGCUGGCGGCAGGCCUAACACAUGCAAGUCGAGCGCCCCGCAAGGGGAGCGGCGGACGGGUGAGUAACGCGUGGGAACGUACCCUUUGCUACGGAAUAGCCUCGGGAAACUGGGAGUAAUACCGUAUGUGCCCUUCGGGGGAAAGAUUUAUCGGCAAAGGAUCGGCCCGCGUUGGAUUAGGUAGUUGGUGGGGUAAUGGCCUACCAAGCCGACGAUCCAUAGCUGGUUUGAGAGGAUGAUCAGCCACACUGGGACUGAGACACGGCCCAGACUCCUACGGGAGGCAGCAGUGGGGAAUCUUAGACAAUGGGCGCAAGCCUGAUCUAGCCAUGUCGCGUGAGCGAUGAAGGCCUUAGGGUUGUAAAGCUCUUUCAGUGGGGAAGAUAAUGACUGUACCCACAGAAGAAGCCCCGGCUAACUCCGUGCCAGCAGCCGCGGU
rnacentral:rRNA from 1 species